rfam:Triticum aestivum genome assembly, contig: Triticum_aestivum_CS42_TGACv1_scaffold_502107_6BL
GGAGUACUCCCUUCGUCCGAAAAAAGCUUGUCCCUCAAAUGGAUGUAUCUAGCAUCAAAUUAGUGCUACAUACAUCCAUUUGAAGAACUAGUUUGAGACAAGUUUUUUCAGACGGAGGAAGUAUAUG